CUGGCGGCAAGCUUAACACAUGCAAGUCGAACGGAUAAUUAUUUAUAAUUUCGGUUAUAAGUAAUUGUUAGUGGCAGACGGGUGAGUAAUGCGUAGGAAUCUACCUAGUAGUAUGGAAUAGCUAUUAGAAAUGAUAGGUAAUACUGUAUAAUCCCUGCGGGGGAAAGAUUUAUCGCUAUUAGAUGAGCCUACGUUAGAUUAGCUAGUUGGUGAGGUAAUGGCUCACCAAGGCGAUGAUCUAUAGCUGGUCUGAGAGGACGAUCAGCCACACUGGAACUGAGAUACGGUCCAGACUCCUACGGGAGGCAGCAGUGGGGAAUAUUGGACAAUGGGCGAAAGCCUGAUCCAGCUAUGCCGCGUGAGUGAAGAAGGCC
rnacentral:rRNA from 1 species